rnacentral:rRNA from 1 species
AACGAACGCUGGCGGCAUGCCUAACACAUGCAAGUCGAACGAUACCUUCCGGUCUAGUGGCGCACGGGGGCGUAACGCGUGGUAACCUGCCCUUAGGUUCGGAAUCACUCCCCGUAAGGGGUGCUAAUACCGGUUAAUGUCUUCGGACCAAAGAUUUAUCGCCUUUGGUUGGGCCCGCGUUGGAUUAUCUAGUUGGUAGGGUAAAAGCCUACCAAGGCGACGCUCCAUAGCUGGGCUGAGAGGAUGAUCAGCCACACUGGGACUGAGACACGGCCCAGAAUCCUAGGCAAGGGAGGAGAGGGGAAUAUAGGACAAUGGGGGAAAGUGUGAUGACGCAAUGCCGGGUGAGUGAUGAAGGCCUUAGGGUUGCAAAGCUAUUUUACACGAGAUGAUAAUGACGGUACCGGGAGAAUAAGCACCGGCUAACUACGUG